GACAACCGGACAUUGUAUUUUUUCUCACUCAGCUCAUAUGUCAUCUAAUGUUUAUUAAGUUUCAUUUGAUUGUUCCAAUUUUGGUUAAUGGCUUACUGUAUAUUGAAGGAUAAUUUUUCUCACCUUUGCUGCAUACAACAUCAGUAUUUAAAAAAAACAAUCGUCCACCUGCAAUAUUUAGGAUUUAUUUAGCAUAGACCAGUUGUAGCAUUGCAAUCUUUUUAACAAUAUUUAGGUGGUAACUUGGGUUGAGGAUUUUGGUUUAGGCUGAUGCGGAGACAACAAAGUGUACGUGCAGAUGACGCUGCGGCCACGGAACCUGGAUUUCACAUAGAAGCCUCCUUCUCAGGAGCUAAUUGCACAGGAUAUCCGUGCUUAAUUCUCUUUGCUUCCUGUUGGGGUGUUGCGCUUUUACUCCCAAAGUACCGAGCUGGGUGAUGAAGCACUUAAGGCACCAGAACCAUUAAAGAGCACUUGGGAGAUAUCUGCAAACAAAUGUAAGAGCCACGAACAACAUUAAAAGAAGUCUGAACUGAAUACAAGAAUUGAGGGAAGAAAGGGUUAUAUAGUGCUAAGGGAAAAUUAAUCAAGAGCGAAAUUCUAGCUAGAGGGCACCUUUGCUGGAGGAAAGGAGGAGGAAAGAAUCUGGACGAUGGUACACGAUGCAGAGCAUAUAAUAUAGGCGGUGUAUAAGAAGCUAAAUUGAUCCAACUUUAUGCUGCUCCUUGUGAGGAUUGAUGGUGAUGUUUCGAUGUGGUGAUUCUCGCUGGGUAUUAUUGAUUCUAUCAUUCAAGAAAUCAAGGUAGUCACUUGUC